rnacentral:rRNA from 1 species
UACGUAGGGUGCAAGCGUUGUCCGGAAUCAUUGGGCGUAAAGCGCGCGUAGGUGGCUUCGUAAGUCCGUUGUGAAAGUCAAAGGCUCAACCUUUGAAUGCCGAUGGAUACUGCGAAGCUAGAGUACGGAAGAGGCGAGUGGAAUUCCUGGUGUAGCGGUGGAAUGCGCAGAUAUCAGGAGGAACACCAAUAGCGAAGGCAGCUCGCUGGGACGGUACUGACGCUAAGGUGCGAAAGCGUGGGGAGCGAACAGG